UCAGACACUCAACCUACUGAGCCACCCAGGUUCCCUGAGGAUAAUCUUCUGAUUGUUGUUUGACUUCUUUGUUUUCUUAGUACCAGGAUGGUGGCAGUGUAUCAGGGGAAAGGUCUGAUAUGUGGCCUCUGGAUUCCUGAUCAUGAACAAAUAUUCACACACGCUGUUCACUACUGGCAAAAUAGCCCAGUGAAACUGGACAUCCAAGGUAUGAAGCAUCUGUGUUUGAACACACUGCACAGGACAUGAAACUGUCACACAGGGAAUGAGUUCUUUGAUAAAAUACAAUGUUUCAUACCUA